UACAGUAUAGAUGUCAGUGAUCAGACCGGUGUAUCGUUCUGGCAACUCUGGUUCUCGGUUUUAGUGUAGUGUUUAGUGGUGUGCAUAUACCGAUUGUCAUAUUGUAGUGUUCAUAUUCUCGUGUGAUAACGUCUAAUUAAGAAGACAAAUAUGUCUCUUCUAUACCAUUUACCGCCCGAAAUAUUGCUAAUAAUUUUUUAUUAUGUGAUAUAUAUACUUUACUACAGCUCAGAAGAGUAUGCAAAAAUUUUGAUGUAAUAUCAACAGACAUCUUAAACAAAAAAAGUAACCAUUUGCUUGCUACGAAUCAGAUGUCGAAAAAAUUUCGUGAACGAUGUAAACCACUAUUAUCUUCGUAUAGAUCUAAAUUUGUUACGCAUUACAACUGGCAAUGUGAAAGAUUUAGAAAAAAGAACAUUUUUCCAUUACAAACAAAUUUCAUAAAAAAAUUGAGAGGCAUGACAAUGAACGAAAAUUGUCUAAAAAUGACUAGAAAUACAAUUUGGCUUUAUGACAAAAAUAAACUUCUAGCUUUUAAUCGUGCAAAGAACGGUAACAUUAGCCAUGAAAACGUGAUUUGUGCAACUUGUGACCAUCAAUUUUCAAGCAUUGCUUAUUGGAAUGAUAUAAUUAUAAGCGGCCACGUAGAUGGUAGUAUUAGACAUUGGAGAAUUAAAUCGCGGAAUAACAUUAAUAAUAUUCAACAAUUAAAAGUACAUUCCAAUGUAUAUGAUGAAUACGUUUCGAACAUAGAAGUAACCUCGCAACAUAUUAUAUCAAGUUCUUCAAAUUUAAUAAAACUACAAAAAAAUACAUUUGAAAAUAAUGCGGAAGAAAAGGAAACAAUUUAU